GUAGGUGGCAAGCGUUGUCCGGAAUUAUUGGGCGUAAAGCGCGCGCAGGCGUUCUUUAAGUCUGAUGUGAAAGCCCACGGCUCAACCGUGGAGGGUCAUUGGAAACUGGAGAACUUGAGUACAGAAGAGGAAAGCGGAAUUCCACGUGUAGCGGUGAAAUGCGUAGAGAUGUGGAGGAACACCAGUGGCGAAGGCGGCUUUCUGGUCUGUAACUGACGCUGAGGCGCGAAAGCGUGGGGAGCAAACAGGAUUAGAUACCCUGGUAGUCCACGCCGUAAACGAUGAGUGCUAAGUGUUAGGGGGGUAUCCGCCCCUUAGUGCUGCAGCUAACGCAUUAAGCACUCCGCCUGGGAGUACGGCCGCAAGGCUG
rnacentral:rRNA from 1 species